UUCUGUUCUAAAUUCUAUACUAAGUUCUGUUCUAAAGUGAGUGAACAGCACAGGAAGAACAUGCUAGUGGACAGGUUUUAGUUUUACAAACCACUGGUUUUUAAGUGACUUUAGCUGGUGCAGAAAAUGGCUUGUAAAAAAUUUAUGCAGCUUAUCAGCUUUGAAUAAAUACUUGAAAAGACUACAUGGAAAGGGAAGGUUUAACAGAAGAA
rnacentral:lncRNA from 1 species